GAUGAACGCUGGCGGCGUGCCUAAUACAUGCGAGUCGAGCGAACAGACGAGGAGCUUGCUCCUCUGACGUUAGCGGCGGACGGGUGGGUAACACGUGGAUAACCUACCUAUAAGACUGGGAUAACUUCGGGAAACCGGAGCUAAUACCGGAUAAUAUAUUGAACCGCAUGGUUCAAUAGUGAAAGACGGUUUUGCUGUCACUUAUAGAUGGAUCCGCGCCGCAUUAGCUAGUUGGUAAGGUAACGGCUUACCAAGGCAACGAUGCGUAGCCGACCUGAGAGGGUGAUCGGCCACACUGGAACUGAGACACGGUCCAGACUCCUACGGGAGGCAGCAGUAGGGAAUCUUCCGCAAUGGGCGAAAGCCUGACGGAGCAACGCCGCGUGAGUGAUGAAGGUCUUCGGAUCGUAAAACUCUGUUAUUAGGGAAGAACAAAUGUGUAAGUAACUAUGCACGUCUUGACGGUACCUAAUCAGAAAGCCACGGCUAACUACGUG
rnacentral:rRNA from 1 species